AAAGGAUUUAGGCAAACCUUUUGAAAAAAAGGGACGCAAAGCUAUGGGUCUAAAGAUAUUUAAUCUAUGAUUGCCAGGUUGCAUCA
rnacentral:ncRNA from 1 species